CGCUUUUGUGUAUUUUUUUCUUUCCAGCGCGCGCCGACCUUCAUUGUUGGGCCUGCUCAACGAAACGGCAGGCGGACUGACGGAGUGCAGGCGGACUGACGGAGUGCGGCGUAAUAGUAUGUGUAGCGCCGAGAACUUAAUUGCGAUGCCAUGCUGCUUCGCCUUCGGUUGCUGCAACAGACACAGCGAGGGCAAAAAGCUUUUUGCUUUGCCGUCCGGCGGGCGCAACGCAAGAAGUGUGGAUUCGCAGGAUCGGGCGGGCUGACUUCGAGGAAGUGGCAAAGAACGCACGGCUUAGUGAAUUUCGUCUUGCGGUGAAAUGCACGCAUCUGCAGCUGGCCUGUGACAUAAAAGAGACUUUAUUCAGGGUGUGUUUUGAGCUCCACCAGAAGUUAGCACAUUCUCGACGCUUUUGCAAGGCUCAAUAUGACUUACGAUGCAGUCUUUUAGCUUCGAAUGUACGCCCGCAUGUAUUAACGUUUUUAACGUCCCGAAGCGACCAAAGCUAGGAUGCAGGUUGUAGUGGAUGGCUCCGGAUAACUUUAUCUAGCUCGCCUGGGGAUGUUUAACAUGCACUUUGAUCGUAGAGUCGUACGUGGGCCGGAAAUUCCUCGUUGGCGUUUGAUAAUACUCGCGCGGGCGCGCUAGCGCUGCUUUAGAAGUUGGCGCCUCGGCGCGAUUGUAUUUCUUCAAUAAAUUUUAUUUACUAGUUGUAA